AGAGUUUGAUCCUGGCUCAGGGUGAACGCUGGCGGCGUGGAUAAGGCAUGCAAGUCGAGUGGGUUUAGACCCACGGCAGACGAGGUAGUAACACGUGGGUACCUACCCUCAAGUCAGGGAUAUACCGCCGAAAGGCGGGGCAAUACUUGAUAGUCUCUACGGAGUAAAGAUUUAUCGCUUGAGGAGGGGCCUGCGCAAUAUCAGCUAGUUGGUGAGGUAAUGGCUCACCAAGGCUAUGACGUUUAGGGGAGCUGAGAGGCUGACCCCCACCGAUGGAACUGAGACACGGUCCAUACUCCUACGGGAGGCCGCAGUCGAGAAUCUUCCGCAAUGGACGAAAGUCUGACGGAGCGACGCCGCGUGGUGGAUGAAGUCCUUCGGGACGUAAACACCUUUUAUCGGGGAUGAAGUUUUGACAGUACCCGAGGAAUAAGGGGCUCCUAACUCUGUGCCAGCAGGAGCGGUAAUACAGAGGCCCCAAGCGUUACCCGGAAUCACUGGGCGUAAAGGAUGCGUAGGUGGUUGUGUUAGUUGUUCGUGAAAUCUUCCGGCUCAACCGGGAGGAUGCCGAGCAAUACGGCACGACUAGAGGACGUACGAGGUAUGCGGAACUCACGGUGUAGGGGUAAAAUCCGUUGAUAUCGUGGGGAACACCAUAGGCGAAGGCGGCAUACUGGGACGUUCCUGACACUGAGGCAUGAAAGCGUAGUAGCGAACGGGAUUAGAUACCCCGGUAGUCUACGCCCUAAACGAUGUUCUCUGGCUUUUGGGAGUAUCGACCCUCUCAGAGGCGAAGCUAACGCGUUAAGAGAACCGCCUGGGUAGUACGACCGCAAGGUUAAAACUCAAAGGAAUAGACGGGGACUCGCACAAGCGGUGGAUCAUGUGGCUUAAUUCGUCGAUAACCGAAAAACCUUACCAGGGCUUGAAACCUAGCUGCACGGUUCCCGAAAGGGAAUCAGCCUCCGAGGGUGCUAGGCAGGUGAUGCAUGGCUGUCGUCAGUUCGUGGCUUGAGCUGUUCCCUUAAGUGGGGUAACGAACGCAACCCUCGUUGCUAGUUUUAUAUGUCUAGCGAGACUGCCCCCUCACGGGGGAGGAAGGUGAGGACGACGCCAAGUCAGCAUGUCCCUCUGAUGCCCUGGGCCGCACACGUGAUACAAUCGGCGCGACAAAAGGAUGCAAGUGCGCAAGCAGGAGCAAAUCCCCAAACGCGUCGCCAAUACAGAUUGAGGUCUGCAACUCGACCUCAUGAAGCCGGAAUCGCUAGUAAUCGUGGGUCAGCAAACCACGGUGAAUACGUUCUCGAGUCUUGUACUCACCGCCCGUCAACUCAAGGGAGCCGGGAAUACCCGACGUCCGCGUUUAUCGCGGCCUACGGUAAGUUCGGUGACAGGGAGUAAGUCGUAACAAGGUA
rnacentral:rRNA from 1 species